CUGCUGCCUCCCGUAGGGGUCUGGUCCGUGUCUCAGUACCAGUGUGGGGGACCUUCCUCUCAGAACCCCUACGCAUCGUCGCCUUGGUGGGCCGUUACCCCGCCAACAAGCUAAUGCGACGCAUGACCAUCCGUAGCCGGAAUCGCUUCCUUUAAACCCACAGAGAUGCCUCCAUGGGUUGUUACGCGGUAUUAGACGGAAUUUCUUCCGCUUAUCCCCCUGCUACGGGCAGGUUUCAUACGUGUUACUCACCCGUGCGCCGGUCGCCGGCGGGAG
rnacentral:rRNA from 1 species